UAGGGAAUCUUCGGCAAUGGGGGGAACCCUGACCGAGCAACGCCGCGUGAGUGAAGAAGGUUUUCGGAUCGUAAAGCUCUGUUGUUAAGGAAGAACGAGUGUGAGAAUGGAAAGUUCAUACUGUGACGGUACUUAACCAGAAAGGGACGGCUAACUACGUGCCAGCAGCCGCGGUAAUACGUAGGUCCCGAGCGUUGUCCGGAUUUAUUGGGCGUAAAGCGAUCGCAGGCGGUUAGAUAAGUCUGAAGUUAAAGGCAGUGGCUCAACCAUUGUAGGCCUUGGAAACUGUUUAACUUGAGUGCAGAAGGGGAGAGUGGAAUUCCAUGUGUAGCGGUGAAAUGCGUAGAUAUAUGGAGGAACACCGGUGGCGAAAGCGGCUCUCUGGUCUGUAACUGACGCUGAGGCUCGAAAGCGUGGGGAGCGAACAGG
rnacentral:rRNA from 1 species